rnacentral:rRNA from 1 species
UUGAACGCUGGCGGCAGGCCUAACACAUGCAAGUCGAACGGUAACAGGAAGCAGCUUGCUGUUUCGCUGACGAGUGGCGGACGGGUGAGUAAUGUCUGGGAAACUGCCUGAUGGAGGGGGAUAACUACUGGAAACGGUAGCUAAUACCGCAUAACGUCGCAAGACCAAAGAGGGGGACCUUCGGGCCUCUUGCCAUCGGAUGUGCCCAGAUGGGAUUAGCUAGUAGGUGGGGUAACGGCUCACCUAGGCGACGAUCCCUAGCUGGUCUGAGAGGAUGACCAGCCACACUGGAACUGAGACACGGUCCAGACUCCUACGGGAGGCAGCAGUGGGGAAUAUUGCACAAUGGGCGCAAGCCUGAUGCAGCCAUGCCGCGUGUAUGAAGAAGGCCUUCGGGUUGUAAAGUACUUUCAGCGGGGAGGAAGGGAGUAAAGUUAAUACCUUUACUCAUUGACGUUACCCGCAGAAGAAGCACCGGCUAACUCCGUGCCAGCAGCCGCGGUAAUACGUAGGUCCCGAGCGUUGUCCGGAUUUAUUGGGCGUAAAGGGAGCGCAGGCGGUCAGGAAAGUCUGGAGUAAAAGGCUAUGGCUCAACCAUAGUGUGCUCUGGACACUGUCUGACUUGAGUGCAGAAGGGGAGAGUGGAAUUCCAUGUGUAGCGGUGAAAUGCGUAGAGAUCUGGAGGAAUACCGGUGGCGAAGGCGGCCCCCUGGACGAAGACUGACGCUCAGGUGCGAAAGCGUGGGGAGCAAACAGGAUUAGAUACCCUGGUAGUCCACGCCGUAAACGAUGUCGACUUGGAGGUUGUGCCCUUGAGGCGUGGCUUCCGGAGCUAACGCGUUAAGUCGACCGCCUGGGGAGUACGGCCGCAAGGUUAAAACUCAAAUGAAUUGACGGGGGCCCGCACAAGCGGUGGAGCAUGUGGUUUAAUUCGAUGCAACGCGAAGAACCUUACCUGGUCUUGACAUCCACAGAACUUUCCAGAGAUGGAUUGGUGCCUUCGGGAACUGUGAGACAGGUGCUGCAUGGCUGUCGUCAGCUCGUGUUGUGAAAUGUUGGGUUAAGUCCCGCAACGAGCGCAACCCUUAUCCUUUGUUGCCAGCGGUCCGGCCGGGAACUCAAAGGAGACUGCCAGUGAUAAACUGGAGGAAGGUGGGGAUGACGUCAAGUCAUCAUGGCCCUUACGACCAGGGCUACACACGUGCUACAAUGGCGCAUACAAAGAGAAGCGACCUCGCGAGAGCAAGCGGACCUCAUAAAGUGCGUCGUAGUCCGGAUUGGAGUCUGCAACUCGACUCCAUGAAGUCGGAAUCGCUAGUAAUCGUGGAUCAGAAUGCCACGGUGAAUACGUUCCCGGGCCUUGUACACACCGCCCGUCACACCAUGGGAGUGGGUUGCAAAAGAAGUAGGUAGCUUAACCUUCGGGAGGGCGCUUACCACUUUGUGAUUCAUGACUGGGGUG